CAAACGGCCCUUUUCAGGGCUACACAUGUACACCACGUCUGUAAC
rfam:Acromyrmex echinatior unplaced genomic scaffold scaffold589, whole genome shotgun sequence.